UAUCCAGAUAGUGCGCUUGGGAGAUAAAAGACAGGACAUUUAAGGUAUGACCAAAUAAAUUCAGUGCUGCCUGCCAGAUAACCAUGCCAGGUGCUAAGGAGACACAGAGUGAUAUGCCCCAUGUUUGGGACAGGCCUUUGCCAUGUGAGAAAAAUAAAACAACGACAAGAUGGGAGAGAAGGAAGGAGAGCAAGCACAUUCUCCAAGAAAGGCCAAAAGGAACAUCAAUUCAUUCUGGGAUCCAAUGAUUGGAAAUGUGAUCAUAUAAACAAGAAGACAUAUGGGUAAAGGAGACAGGAGAAAGAAUGGGAAGCUGCACAAGUGGCCACACUCCUGCUCUGUCAGGGGUGUUGAAGUGUUCCUUCAGCUGAGGUGUUGGGUUUCUCGUGGGGAUGCAGCGAGCCACAGCAGAGAUCCACAGACAGAAGAUUGCCAUGCAGGAAAAUCAGACAAGGACAAAGAAAAUGCACACCAGACUAUGAAAGGAAACUGAGGCUGAGAGAGGUGAUGGGACUUGCCUACAGCCGCUAAAUGGCAAUCAUCUGCUUCAUUCCUGAGCACAAAGCUCUACUACAUUUAGUCCAGGUCCCAUGCUCGGCACAGCGCGGGUGGCAGGCUCGCUGGUCACACGCUGCCCCCAUCCAGCCAUCUUCGCAGCGACAGGUGCCCCCAACGCAGACACCGUGGCCACCACAGUCCGCAGCGCAGAUCUCUGUGGGCAGGGGAAGCAGGUAGGGAGCAGGCCCCGGAGGGGAGAGGG